UGCAUCUGUAGCUCAGUGGAUAGAGCAGUGGCCUCCGGAGCUGCGUGCGUAGGUUCGAUUCCUAUCAGGUGCAU
rnacentral:tRNA from 1 species